UUGGUUAACUUCAUACAACUGUUAGUCUUUAGUUUGUGACAAAUUGAUGCGGUUGAAGAGAAGGCGUGUCAGUUUAUGGAAAGAUUUGAUCCAGUUUAUGGAAUGAUUUGAUAGAUUAUGGAAAGAUUUGAUCCAGUGACCAUUUGGCAAUUUCUGUCAAGUUUGGAGUGUCGGAUUUUGGAGUUUUCGGAGCCUAAUUUCAUUGAAAACGGGUCAACGAUCAAAAGUCACCAGCUUUGCUGGUGAUCUGCAGGGUUUUUUGGUCGAAUUCCAUCAUUUAGGCCUUCAAAAUUGCAUGUAAAAAUGUGGUUUAUAUUCUGGUUACUAAGAUUAUGUAAUUUGGUUACUGUCUAAUAUUGAUUUGGUUACUUUACAAUGUUUAUUCAGUUGUUAGGCAAUGGAGACUGACAGUAACCAAUAAAACAAAUUUAAUUGUUUACAG
rnacentral:lncRNA from 1 species